GACGAGCGCUGGCGGCGUGCUUAACACAUGCAAGUCGAGCGGUAAGGCCCUUUCGGGGGUACACGAGCGGCGAACGGGUGAGUAACACGUGGGUGACCUGCCCUCAGCUCUGGGAUAAGCCUGGGAAACUGGGUCUAAUACUGGAUAUGACUCCACGGUGCAUGUCGUGGGGUGGAAAGCCUUGUGCGGCUGAGGAUGGGCCCGCGGCCUAUCAGCUUGUUGGGGGGGUGAU
rnacentral:rRNA from 1 species